rnacentral:lncRNA from 1 species
GGUAUAAUUUACCGAACCUCGUUAAAACUCUUGUGUUCUUUCUUGUUCUAUUUUUCUUUCAAUAUUUGAGGGUAUAAUAGUAGUAUUUAAUUGUGCUAUUAAAUUACUAUAGAAGGGAUAUUCUGUCUAAGGAAAGACUUGGUAUUUAAGAGAUCCAUGUGAUCCACCUCUCUUUCCUGGGAAUUGAACUUUGUGUGAUUUUUUAGUACAAUAAUUUACACGCUUCCGACCCUAUUGGAACAACA